rnacentral:rRNA from 1 species
UACGGAGGGUGCGAGCGUUGUCCGGAAUCACUGGGCGUAAAGAGCGUGUAGGCGGCCAAACAGGUCCGUUGUGAAAACUGGAGGCUCAACUUCCAGACGUCGACGGAAACCGUGUGGCUAGAGUCCGGAAGAGGAGAGUGGAAUUCCUGGUGUAGCGGUGAAAUGCGCAGAUAUCAGGAAGAACACCCGUGGCGAAGGCGGCUCUCUGGGACGGUACUGACGCUGAGACGCGAAAGCGUGGGGAGCGAACAGG